rnacentral:snoRNA from 1 species
CCCAGCUGUAGACAACUGCCUACAUUGCUUUCUACCUAGGCAAGUGUUACACAGCUGGGAGAAAAGCAGCCAAUAGCUGCUGGGCACUUUGAGCCUGGUUAAUGCCAAAUUUGUGUUAACUAUACCAGUGUGCCAGCAUC